CAAUAAAAACAAACAAGGGCAUACGGGGAAUGCCUAGGCUCUGCAAGGCGAAGAAGGACGUGAUAAGCUGCGAAAAGCCGCGGGGAGGUGCAAAUAACCGAUAAUCCGCGGAUAUCCGAAUGGGGCAACCCACCAUAUAAAUGGUACCUCGAAACGAGGAGCGAACCCUCUGAACUGAAACAUCUAAGUAAGAGGAGGAAGAGAAAACAACAGUGAUACCGCAAGUAGUGGCGAGCGAACGCGGCACAGCCCAAACCGGACACGUUUAGGCGUAUCCGGGGUAGUAGGACUGCGAGAUACAAGUAUAAAAAGAACCGGAACGGCAUGGAAAGGCCGUCCGUAGAAGGUGAAAGACCUGUACGGGCAAUUUUUAUACGCGUUAGCAGUAUCCUGAGUAGGUCGGGGCACGAGAAACCCAGACUGAAACCGGCGGGACCACCCGCCAAGGCUAAACACUCAGCAGAGACCGAUAGUGAACAAGUACCGUGAGGGAAAGGUGAAAAGAACCUUGAAUAAAGGAGUGAAAAAGACCCUGAAACCGUAUGCCUACAAGCGGUCGGAGCCCAUUUAUUGGGUGACGGCGUGCCUUUUGCAUAAUGAUCCUACGAGUUACUGUUACCGGCAAGGUUAAGCGCUUCAGGCGCGUAAGCCGCAGCGAAAGCGAGUCUUAAAAGGGCGAAUUAGUCGGUAGUAGUAGACGCGAAACCUUGUGAUCUACCCAUGGCCAGGUUGAAGUGGGGGUAACACCCCAUGGAGGACCGAAUCGGUAAGCGUUGAAAAGCUUUCGAAUGAGCUGUGGGUAGGGGUGAAAGGCCAAUCAAACUGGGAAAUAGCUCGUACUCCCCGAAAUGCAUUUAGGUGCAGCGUCGCGGUUAAGUGAUAUAUAGGUAGAGCUACUGAUUGAAUGCGGGGGCUUCACCGCCUACCAAUUUCAGACAAACUCCGAAUAGUAUAUCACAUACGCGGCAGUGAGGGCAUGGGUGCUAAGGUCCAUGCCCGAGAGGGAAACAACCCGGACCAACAGCUAAGGUCCCCAAAUAUACGCUAAGUUGAAAAAACGAAGUAGAACUGCACAGACAGCCAGGAAGUUGGCUUGGAAGCAGCCAUUCUUUUAAAGAGUGCGUAACAGCUCACUGGUCGAGCGGUUCUGCAUGGAGAAUAAGCGGGCAUAAGCGUAUUACCGAAGCUAUGGCAGAUAACAAUCUGGGUAGGGGAGCAUUCCGUACAGCGCAGAAUCGGUAUUGUAAAGUACCGUGGAGCGUACGGAAAAGCAAAUGUAGGAAUAAGUAACGAUAAAGCGGGCGAGAAACCCGCUCACCGAAAGACCAAGGGUUCCCCGGCUAUGUUAAUCAGCCGGGGGUCAGUCGGGCCCUAAGGACAAGCCGAAAACAGGCUACUCCGAUGGACAAACGUUUAAUAUUACGUUACUCGUAUCGAGUGCGACGGGGCGACCUGGUAAUACCUCUUCGCGUGCUGACGGAAUAGCACGUUAAAGACUUUACUGGGCCGGGAGGCAAAUCCCCCGGCGGAAAGGUAAAGUUGAUAGUACACCCAAGCUACGGCGACGGUGAUAGCAAGACUAAAGAUCAGCAAGAAAAACCUCUAAGCUUCAGCUCGAUACGACCCGUACCGGAAACCGACACAGGUGGUCGAGAAGAGAAUUCUAAGGUGCUCGAGAGAUUCAUGGCUAAGGAACUAGGCAAAAUAGACCUGUAACUUCGGGAAAAAGGUCACCGCAGCAAUGCGGUCUCAGAAAAUAGGUCCAGGCGACUGUUUAACAAAAACACAGGACUUUGCAAAAUCGAAAGAUGACGUAUAAGGUCUGACACCUGCCCGGUGCUGGAAGGUUAAGAGGAGAUGUCCGCAGCAAUGCAAAGCAUUGAAUUGAAGCCCCAGUAAACGGCGGCCGUAACUAUAACGGUCCU
rnacentral:rRNA from 1 species